UCGAAGUACUGUGAGGAUUUUCCUUACCUUGAUGGUUUGGGUUGAUAUUUGAAGCGUAUCCAGACAGCUCUCAGAAAAUCUAGGUUUCCUUUGCACUGAGGGAGACAGAGUAGCAUUCUUGGUUGUUGGUAGGGUACAUUCCAGAUUUACUUCAUUAACACGUGCAACAAUUUGCCUAAGCUGCUUGUUUCCCAGAUACAGGGCUGCUUCAAAAACACUUCUGCAGGUAUAGAAAUGCAUACAACUUCUUUCACUGCAAUCCCCACCUGAUACAUAUGCAAUCACCUCUGCUGCUGCCAGGAUCUGCAGGCACCUGAAGCACUAAGAUUGAACUGAACACUGCUUUCUCAGUACGAAAUAAUGAUCUAAAAGCCCAAGAAAUGUUGUUGGACAGUUAAAAAGCAAGUAUUUGUUCUCUAUCUAUGUUUCUCUGCAGAUGAACAGCCCACCAGCCCACCUCACACAUUUCAGCUAUAGCAAACGCACUGACCAAACGUAUGCAAAUAUUUCUGUUUGAGUACAACCGGAUGCUUGCUGAAUGACAGCGUGCAGAUGUGCCUUUGAAGAACCUAGGAACAGAUGGGACAGAGAGUAAAGCCCUUCCAUGAUUUCCUAAUAAUCCAGACAAAGAUUUCACCUUCACUAUUUUAGAAAUAGCCUUCUAGAGACAUUUCAGGGUCUGUCUCAGAUGACUUAACCUUUCCACAUUGAAAAACAGUUUGUCGCCUGUGAAGCUGAGGUUUCGAUGCAAAAUACACGCGCAAGAAAUCCUGGUUUUGGAUAUCCAUUUUUCUUACUAAGAUGACAACAUUCACACUGCAUACACUGGACGCUGGGUGAUAUUAGUAAUUUCUGUUUUUGUGAGGAUGGCGAGGUAAACCCAGAAAGACAUUUUCUAUUUUUGGUGGUGAACAAAAUGCUUUUCUUAGGAAACAAUUCACAUUUGAAUUUUCUGUCGCAAGACACACAUUUUAGCUGAACUUCAAUAAAGGAGCCCCACACAACCA
rnacentral:lncRNA from 1 species